rnacentral:rRNA from 1 species
GACGAACGCUGGCGGCGUGCUUAACACAUGCAAGUCAAGGGGGCCCAGCAAUGGGCAACCGGCGAACGGGUGCGUAACACGUGAGCAACCUACCGAACUGUGGGGGAUAGCCGGCCUAACGGCCGAGUAAUACCGCAUACGCUCUCAGUGAGGCAUUUCAUUGAGAGGAAACCUACGGGACAGAUCGAGGGGCUCGCGGCCUAUCAGCUAGUUGGCGAGGUAACGGCUCACCAAGGCAACGACGGGUAGCUGGUCUGAGAGGAUGGCCAGCCACAUUGGGACUGAGAUACGGCCCAGACUCCUACGGGAGGCAGCAGUGGGGAAUCUUGCGCAAUGGCCUAACGGCUGACGCAGCGACGCCGCGUGUGGGAUGAAGCUCUUCGGAGUGUAAACCACUGUUGCCCGGGACGAAUAGCUCGAUUAAUCGAGCCUGACGGUACCGGGUGAGGAAGCACCGGCUAACUCCGUGCCAGCAGCCGCGGUAAUACGGGGGGUGCGAGCGUUGUCCGGAAUCACUGGGCGUAAAGGGCGCGUAGGUGGUUUGAUAAGGGUGUGGUGAAAGUCCGGGGCUCAACCCCGGAUCUGCCGUGCCGACUGUCAAACUCGAGGACUGUAGAGGCAGACGGAAUUCCGGGUGUAGCGGUGGAAUGCGUAGAGAUCCGGAGGAAGACCGGUGGCGAAGGCGGUCUGCUGGGCAGUUUCUGACACUGAGGCGCGACAGCG